rnacentral:rRNA from 1 species
CAGCAGCCGCGGUAAUACGUAGGGUGCAAGCGUUAAUCGGAAUUACUGGGCGUAAAGCGUGCGCAGGCGGUUCGCUAAGACAGAUGUGAAAUCCCCGGGCUUAACCUGGGAACUGCAUUUGUGACUGGCGGGCUAGAGUAUGGCAGAGGGGGGUAGAAUUCCACGUGUAGCAGUGAAAUGCGUAGAGAUGUGGAGGAAUACCGAUGGCGAAGGCAGCCCCCUGGGCCAAUACUGACGCUCAUGCACGAAAGCGUGGGGAGCAAACAGGAUUAGAUACCCGCGUAGUCCCUGUCUCUUAUAC